AACUCAAUGGUAGAGUACUCGGCUUUUAACCGAAUAGUUCUGGGUUCGAGUCCCA
rnacentral:tRNA from 1 species